rnacentral:rRNA from 1 species
AACCCCUACGGGAGGCAGCAGUGGGGAAUAUUGCACAAUGGGGGGAACCCUGAUGCAGCGACGCCGCGUGAGUGAAGAAGUAUUUCGGUAUGUAAAGCUCUGUCAGCAGGGAAGAAGAAAGACGGUACUUGACCAAGAAGCCCCGGCUAACUACGUGCCAGCAGCCGCGGUAAUACGUAGGGGGCAAGCGUUAUCCGGAUUUACUGGGUGUAAGGGGAGCGUAGGUGGCAAGGCAAGUCAGAUGUGAAAACCCGGGGCCCAACCCCGGGAGUGCAUUUGAAACUGUCUGGCUAGAGUGCAGGAGG